ensembl:scaRNA SCARNA14 small Cajal body-specific RNA 14
GUGGCUGCAAUAAAUAUCGGUUGUAUUUGUAAGCAAUACAAUACAUCCCCAGGUAGCCACGCACAUUAAUGCGAUGGUUCCUGCCGACAGCGUCUGUCUAGUUAUCAGAUUUCUGUGCGAUGGUUCCAUACAUU